GAAAUGAGGGAGAAGGUGGAUGAGGGGCUCCUUCCUUUUGUCCUCAGAUGACCCAAGCCAAGUGCAGAAGGCGCGCCUCCUCCCAAAGCUCGGCUAGUCCCUCCACCAAAGCCAGGAUCAGAGCCCAUACCUGCCUGGCCAACCCCUGGCACUGAUGAUGCCUGGGUGCAGGUUAAGCUGGGAGGAGCUCCUGCCUGCCUAGAUGAAGAGGAGGUCAAGACUUUGUCCCCCACUCCCCAAGAUACCCCCUCUGUUCCAGAGCGGUGGGUCCCUCCCCUGUUAGGACCUUGUCUCCCUCAGGACUGGACCUGGAUCCUGGGCCUGCAGUCAGAUUGCCAGUCUCACUUAGAGGUGGUAAUGUCAACCCACUGGUUGGAAUGGGAAGGUGAGACGGGAUUUCACCAUGUUAGCCAGGAUGGUCUCGAUCUCCUGACCUCGUGAUCUGCCCACCUCGGCCUCCCAAAGUGCUGGGAUUACAGGCAUGAGCCACCGUGCCCGGCCAAAAAUAACUUUUAAAAACAUGAGUAUAGCAUACACACACACAAAAGUCCACAAAUCCUAAGUGUACCACUUGAUGAAUGAUCCCAAUGUGAGCACACCUCUGGAUUACCACCUGGAUCAAGAAAUAGGACAUCACAGCAGCUGGCAGCUUCCAAGGAGAAGCUCCGGAAACUUCUGCCUGUCUCAGCACCUGGCUGGAUCGGAAACGAGUUUUCUUUAACCAGAUUUUUAAUGACUGACUUAUGUGGACAAAUAAUAACUGAAUGAAUCACCUCCUUUGUUGAUUUUUUGGGUACUUUAUUUGCUAUUAUAAAUGAUGCUGUAAUAAGCACCCUUGAAGAAAUAUUCAUGUCUGCCUCUGCUGUGUAGCAGGUCACAGUGCCUGGGUUUGGUUCUAGCCCUCAUUUGUGAACUGUGUGACUCACCAUGCCUUUUUUCUUUCUGUAAGACGGGAAUAAUGGUAAGAAUUUAAAUGGGGGUAAUAUGGAGCACGUUUAGUUCAGAGCCUGGUGUGUACAAGCACUCAAUAAGUAUUGGUGAUUAUUAGACCUUUAGAUUAAUUUAUUAGAAGUUGGAUUUCUGGUGAAAGGUUUUGAGUGUUUUUAAGGCUUUGGCACAGAAUACCCAGCUGGUCCCAGAAAGGUGGUUCCCAUUUACCUGCCCGAAGUGCCUUCACCCUUACUGAUACUGGGUACUGUUUUCUAAAAGAACAUUAAAAGUUGGAUAGGUUAAAAACAAGUGAAUACAUUUUUUUAGUUGCAUAUUUUUGGUUACCCGUGAGAGUGAACAUGUUGCCUUGUGUUUGCUGACCUCCUAAAUGGUCUAUUUGCUCCUACCUUUGUACCCCAAAAGUCUGCUCUCAAGACAGUAGCCAGAAUGAUCCUUUUUGAGACAUAAGUCAAAAUUUCACUCUUCGGCUUAAAGCUCUGCAAUGGUUCUCAGGUUAAAAGCCAAAGUCCUGUUCAAGGCCUCCAGGGUCCUCACCACUUGGUCCCUUGCUCUUUCUGUUCUAGCCAACUUGGCCUUCUCCUGCCCCUCCGCCGCACCAUGGCAAUUUCCCCUGCUCUGUGUGGUCAACUACCUGAAUCUGUUCAAAGCUUUGCUCAGAUGUCUCCUUCCUGAUGAGACCUCCCCAGCCCCUGAGCUCCCCAUGCCUCACUCCUGAUCGCCUUACUUAACUCUUCUUUUUCUUUUUUGCCAAUAGUACUUAUCACCGUCUAAAAUACUUCAUAAUUGUUUAUUGUUUGCCUCUCUCCAAUAGAAUGUAAGCUCCUUGGGGAAGGGACCUUUGUCCUUUGUCUUGUUCACUGCUGUGUCCCAUGUGUAAACUUGUCUGGCACAGAAGAGGUGCUCGAUAAAUAUUUGUUGAGUGAAUGAAUUGUAAAUUUUCUGUUCAUAUUCUUUGACUAUUUUCUACUGUAAUGUUCAUCUUUUUAGUAUUGGUUUAUAAGAUGUAUAUUUAGCACCUUUUCAUAUAUCACUCUUUGUCACAUAUUAUAUAACUAAUUUGUCAUUUCCAUCAAUUUUUAAAAUUCUUGAUGCUUCAUUUUUAAGCUGUCAGAUUAUUAAUCUUUUCUUUAUGGCCUUGGACUUUAUUGUUGCAUAACCGCUGCCUUCACCAGGAACAUAUAAAUUUUCAAUUAAAUGUUCUUCUGAGAUUAUGAUUUCAUUUCACUUUUUAUAUUAAACACUUUAUUUUAUCUUCAUGUGUGGUGAGAGGUAAGAACAUAACUUUAAAGCAAAUUAACCAACUAUCCCCAAAUGAAUUAUAAACAAAUUAAUCAUUUUCCAAU
rnacentral:antisense_RNA from 1 species